rnacentral:rRNA from 1 species
AACGAACGCUGGCGGCAGGCUUAACACAUGCAAGUCGAACGGGCGUAGCAAUACGUCAGUGGCAGACGGGUGAGUAACACGUGGGAACCUUCCUCGUAGUACGGAACAACUCAGGGAAACUUGAGCUAAUACCGUAUACGUCCGAGAGGAGAAAGAUUUAUCGCUAUGAGACGGGCCCGCGUCCGAUUAGGUAGUUGGUGGGGUAACGGCCUACCAAGCCGACGAUCGGUAGCUGAUCUGAGAGGAUGAUCAGCCACACUGGGACUGAGACACGGCCCAGACUCCUACGGGAGGCAGCAGUGGGGAAUCUUGGACAAUGGGCGCAAGCCUGAUCCAGCCAUGCCGCGUGAGUGAAGAAGGCCUUAGGGUUGUAAAGCUCUUUUGCCAGGGACGAUAAUGACGGUACCUGGAGAAUAAGCCCCGGCAAACUUCGCGCCAGCAGCCGCAGUAAGAC